GUCAUACCCCGUGUCCAAUCAGAAACGAGCAGGUGAUGUUCAUUAAGGACCUAACCUUUCCAUUUUGAGUUAAUGUUGUGUUUUUUAUUUUUCUGUUGUGUUUUUGAUUUUGCUGUUAUUUUAUUUGCUGUUGUGUUUUUGAUUUUGCUGUUAUUUUAUUUGCUGUUGUGUUUUUGGUUUGUCAAAGUGUUUUGCACUUUAGGGCCACUGUAAUUUUGGGUUUGCAAUCAGUUACAACGGCGAUGGUCAAAAAAAGGUUGAGAAAACAGUCACUGUUUGUAGACACUGCUCGACGCGAAUGCCGUAUUCUCAUGGCAAUACAUCUAAUAUGACGAGUCAUCUAUGCCAUCAUCACCCGGGGAUUGAUAGAGCGUGGGUAUGAAGCCCGUUUCCGCCCCGGAGAAAAACGUUAAAAAAGGUUAUUGUGACUUUAUAUCUCAGAAUUUGGACUUUCUCACAAUUACGUACUUUCUUAGUUGCAUUUCUUGAUCAUUGUGUCUGUCUUUGUGUGUCAUCGGACAGCAGGCCUGUAUGAUUAUGGAAUACAUUAUAGAGGAUUAUUUUUGCUGUGGCUUCACAAAUAGAGAAAACUUGAUUUUAUUGGAAGAGUCGCAACAUAAACCUAUGUCUCCGGACUCUUGAGAGAACGUUAUGCAGAAACCAGUUGUGGCAGAGACACAACAAAACAGAUGAAGCCGAAGUGGCAUAUUUUAUACACCAGCAGCUUCAGACAUCGGGAUGACAACAUGGCUAUCAGUGGAUGCAGUAGAAUGUUGGCAUGCGGGGUGCGCGCAACCCCGGGAGAUGCUCGAGGCAAUGGAGCGCUCAGUGGCCACCUUGGAAAUCGGCAGGGGUGAUCAUCGAGAGUUUCCCCGGCCUCCACUGCUGUGGCACAUGGACCAGCAUUCUCAUGGGGAGAGGAGGCUCACCACCAACUGCUCCGCCUACUGAGCUGGACCCCACCGCCAACUAACGAGUCGACAAGCCCUGGCUCGCAGGCUGUGCUCUCCACACAGCAACUCCUCCCAGCUCCCCGACCAUCCUUGUGGAGGUAAACGGCAGGCCAGUCUCAGCCCUCCUGGACUCUGGAAGCACCAUAACCCUGGCCCGUGCCUCCAUGCUAUCACCCCCACCUAAGGCAGAGGUGCGUGCUGCUAGAGUCAGAGUCAAACAUCAGGCCGAGGAGUGACCGCUCCUCGUGGGCCUCAUCCCAGAACUCCCCGUGCCUCUGCUCCUGGGUUGAGACUGGCUGGGGUUCUCCACUGCCAGGGCAUCGAGACCUCCUCGGAGACGGAGGCCCAGAGUGAUGUGGCCGUGGCCUUUGCCCAGGGCAAAGGUGACGCCGGGGUGACCUCAUCAGGUGAGACCCCCACUCCUACUAACCCUGUCUCCUCUGUGUUUUUGCAGGUCACCCAGGAGGGGAACUUCGAGUGGGAACAAAAGGAGGACAACAGGCUGAAGCACUGUUGGGGCCAGGUGCAAGUCAUCGAAUGACUCCAGCAGGACCCAGAGUGGACACUCCCAGCUGCAUACUUCCUGGUGCACUGGGGCCUUUUAUACUUCCGGACGGAGAGCCGAGGCCAGCCCUGUGAAGUGCUGGUGGUCCUCCACAGCAAGACCCAAGCCACGUGUUCUGCCAGCGGUGCCCACAGUGUCAGAGGACCACGCGUUAUAAGCCGGCACCAGCUCCCCUCAUUCCUCUCCCUAUCAUCGGCAUCCCUUUCGAGCAGAUAGGCAUGGACCUCGUGGGGCUGCUGCAGAAGUCAUCACCAGACAGCUCCCCCUCAUCUUCAGCCACAUCGGGAUUCCUAAGGACGUCCUCACCAACCAAGGUACGCCCUUUAUGUCCAAGCUAAUGGUGGAUCUGUGUCGGUUGUUGCAGGUAAAGCACCUAAGGACAUCCAUCUACAACCCCCAGACUGAUGGCCUCGUGGAGUGCUUCAACCAGACUCUCAAGAGCAUGCUGUGGCAUGUGGUAGAAGAGGAAUGGAGGAACUGGAACCUUAUCCUUCUGUACAUCCUCUUCACUGUCCAAGACACUCCACAGGCGUCCACCGGCUUCAUCCCCUUCGAGCUCCUCUUCAGACCUUGAGGACUGCUGGAUGUGGCCCAGGAGGCCUAGGAAGAGCAGCCUUCCCCAUUCCGUUCCCUCAUGGAAUAUAUACAAGAAAUGCAGGAUUGAAAUGACCAUGUCAUCUCCAUUGUCCUGGAGUAUAUGGAGGCCGCCCAAUGGGAACAACAAAGGGUCUACAAACAGCCUGCUCAGCCCAGAGAGUUCCAGCCUGGGGACCAGGUCCUCCUCCUCCUUCCCAGUGCCUCCUGCAAGUUCCUGGCCCACUCGCAGGGUCUGUACAUGGUCCUCAAGAAAGUGGGUCCCGUUACUUUACCACUUCAAUCUACUGAAAAAAAUGGGUCGAACCAGCUCCUGUGGUGUCUGUGUUUGAUAGUCUUCCCACAGGUCCACCCGAGCAUACCUUGGUCCACCAAGGAGAGGAGCUCACCCCGACGCAGAGCGAGAAGCUAUCUGAGUUGGUGGACCAGUUUGCUGAUGUCUACUCUCCUCCACCACGGACCUAACAAAUCUGGUCCACCACGACAUCAAGACCGCACCGAGAGUUGUGGUUAGACAGCAGCCCUACCGCAUCCCAGAGGCACACCAUAAGGCUAUAGAGGAGGAAGUCAGCCGUAUGCUCUGGGACGGGGUGAUUCAGUAGUCUGCCAGCAUCUGGUCCAGCCCCAUUGUGGUGGUCCCCAAGCCUGACGGAAGCAUCUGCCUUUGUAACGACUUCCGGCGGCUCAACCAGGUCUCAGACUUUGACAGCUACCCCCUCCCCAGGGUUGACGACCUGGUGGAGCGACUGGGGAGAGAACCCUCAACCUCACCAAGGGGUAUUGCAAGUGGACCUCAGCCCAGAGGCCAAGCCAAAGAUGGCCUUCACCACCGCCAGCAGCCACUGGCAGUACCAGGUUCUCCUCUUUGGCCUGCACAGAGCUCCAGCCACAUUCCAACACCUAAUGGACAUUAUCCUGUGGCCACAUCGUCAGUUUGCAGCCGCCUACCUGGACAAUGUUGUCAUUCACUCCUCCACAUGGUGCGACCACCUCUACCACCUUGGGGAGGUCCUGGGAGAGAUCCAGAAGGCUGGCUUGACUGUCAAUCCCAGGAAGUGUCAUCUGGAUCAGCUGGGUGCUUCUAAAGCCACAGGAGAAGAAGGUGGAAGCAGUUAAGGAAUAUCCCCGGCCCGCAACGAAGAAACAGAAGCCGGCGUCAGCGAGGACAAAGAGGCUGGACCCCUGCACGCCAACCCUUGCCUACCCUGAGAGCAACCGCCGUGCCUCCUGGGUCCCGCCGCAAUGCUGCUGCCCUAUGUCCACCGCGCCCAGCUCUGGGACAACCGUGGCCUCAUCUUUCUGCACCACCCACCCUCACCUUCACACAAGCCUUUCCCAUACACCAGCGCUUAAAAUAAAGAGCACUUUCCCCCCCA